AGCACACGUACGUCGCGGGGACGUCUGUGCGAUGUAUGCGUUUGCAUCUGGGAGACGUCGAUUUUAGGACGUUUGCUCAUCUGGAAGACGUCGCAUAGACGUCCUUUUCCGACGUUCCAGCGAUCUCCGGUAGACAACACAACAUGCUGUUGAAUGAUUUCCUCUGCUUCAGUUGGCGAUGGAAGCACGGGAUUCUUCAUAGCUGCUCCUGCAUGUUAAAAGGUAAAACUUAAAUAAGUUUAACAAAUAAAACUUUUUUCACUUAUUGGUUAAUUAAAUCCUCAAAAUAUGUUUUUUUUUUUUUUUUUAACUGGGCUCUUAUGAAUUUAGACAAUGAUAAGCAAAGUAUAAAAAAUGUUUGCAACAUCCGUCCUUCCCUAAAGCUAUAAUGUCUGUAUCAGUAUCAAUUAAAUUAUUCAUUAUUCAGUUAGUCAUGUAAGAUAAAUGCAUGCCGAUCCAAACAAAUCCAUUUAAGAAUUAUGCAUUAACUGCGCAAAAUAAUGUAAAAUAAGACAUUUAUUUCGUCUUAUGUCUGUUUAAUUGUUCAUAUGAUCCCGAGUUGAGUUACUAGCUGAGAAUGAUUAGCUUGCGUUAAUAAAAUCUAAUUAAUAUAGAUAAUUGAUGUGCAGUUAAUGCUUGUCUACUGUUUUUAAUGUCACUCAGCGUUUUAGGAUGUAAUAUAACAUACAAGUAGGAAGUUUCAUGUCUGUGCUUUCUAUUUGAUUGGUCACUGUUCAUUUCCAGUGGUGCUGGAAUUCUGCUUCAGUCAUAAAAACUUUAAACUGCUAUCGGUUUCAGGUUCUUUUAGAGUGACUCCCAGAUUAGUGGAGACACAGCCUGAGUUGAAUAUUAAUAAUUUUAUAUUAAGUCUACUUCGAAAACUGGGCUGGUCAGAUUCAAGGAAUCGACUCUUUUGGAGUCGACUCCUCAUCAGUACUGCGCAU